rnacentral:misc_RNA from 1 species
AACGCACAUUGCGCCCUUUGGUAUUCCUUAGGGCAUGCCUGUUCGAGCGUCAUUUCAAACCCUCAAGCUCAGCUUGGUGAUGGGCAGUUAGUCUUCCCGCAGCUUAGUUGUUGUGGCGGACUUUGCCUUAAAUUUACGGAGGGGCAAGCAUACCUCCCCCGGCUCAAGACGCAGCAGAUUUGCGUCGCUUGUCCGGGCAGGGAUGGUUACUUUCCCGUCAAGCUAAUAGAACUCAAGUUUGACCUCGGAUCAGGUAGGGAUACCCGCUGAACUUAA